GACGAACGCUGGCGGCGUGCCUAAUACAUGCAAGUUGAGCGCUGAAGGUUGGUACUUGUACCAACUGGAUGAGCAGCGAACGGGUGAGUAACGCGUGGGGAAUCUGCCUUUGAGCGGGGGACAAAAUUUGGAAACGAAUGCUAAUACCGCAUAAAAACUUUAAACACAAGUUUUAAGUUUGAAAGAUGCAAUUGCAUCACUCAAAGAUGAUCCCGCGUUGUAUUAGCUAGUUGGUGAGGUAAAGGCUCACCAAGGCGAUGAUACAUAGCCGACCUGAGAGGGUGAUCGGCCACCUUGGGACUGAGACACGGCCCAAACUCCUACGGGAGGCAGCAGUAGGGAAUCUUCGGCAAUGGGCGAAAGUCUGACCGAGCAACGCCGCGUGAGUGAAGAAGGUUUUCGGAUCGUAAAACUCUGUUGGUAGAGAAGAACGUUGGUGAGAGUGGAAAGCUCAUCAAGUGACGGUAACUACCCAGAAAGCGACGGCUAACUACGUG
rnacentral:rRNA from 1 species